UACGUAGGGGGCAAGCGUUGUCCGGAUUUAUUGGGCGUAAAGAGCGUGUAGGCGGCCAGACAGGUCAGCUGUGAAAACUCGAGGCUCAACCUCGAGACGUCGGUUGAAACCGUCUGGCUAGAGUCCGGAAGAGGAGAGUGGAAUUCCUGGUGUAGCGGUGAAAUGCGCAGAUAUCAGGAGGAACACCGGUGGCGAAGGCGGAUCUCUGGGCCGAUACUGACGCUGAGGAGCGAAAGCGUGGGAGCGAACAGG
rnacentral:rRNA from 1 species